GUGAAUCAUCGAAUCUUUGAACGCACAUUGCGCCUCCUGGUAUUCCGGGAGGCAUGCCUGUUCGAGCGUCAUCAAGAAAACCUCAAGCGUAUUUUUCGCUUGGUCUUGGAGCGUGAGGUGCCGCUGGCGCGGCCCUCUGCUUCGAAAUGCAAUGGCGGAAAGUCUAAGGUGCCCCGGCGUAGUAAGUUCAUCUUUCGCUCGGUCCCGUAGGCGUUCCCGCCCUCAAAUCCCCACUAUUUUAAGUUGACCUCGGAUCAGGUAGGGAUACCCGCUGAACUUAAGCAUAUCAAUAAGCGGAGGA
rnacentral:misc_RNA from 1 species